ensembl:lncRNA
UCCCAGGAAAGCACGCGUGGCCCCAAGGUGAGGCCUGAAACGACGCCUAGCCACCUUCCGGAAAUGCUGGAUGAGUUUUCUAAGUAUUUUUCAGGACUUAAUCCCGCAAUCUCAGACUUCCUUUGGCUGUUCCAGAGUUAAUAAAUUAGAAGCACACGCAGCCAACCCUGUACUCGUACACUAUUUUGGUUGCUUCCUGUCACCAGGGGACACUGCCGUGGGGACCUCUGCCCCAUUCUAGCUCGAGCCCAAGGCCGCAUCCAGGGAGCCGCGUGGCCACCUGCUGAGUAGGGGUCAUUGUAGCACGAGUCUGAGAGGCUGAACAAACAGGAUCAACUCAAAGUCCUCUUCAAGGCCACACAUUCUGGGUUUGUUUCGUCCCUUUUUACCCAGAGCCGCGCCCAGCUGUCCCACGUCUCUUGCCUUCCCUGAACCGCAGCACUGGCUUGUCGAAAAGACUCGGCCAGUUUGUUUUGCAGAAUGUGUUUUAGAUUUGCUUGAUUGUU